rnacentral:rRNA from 1 species
GGACUACCGGGGUAUCUAAUCCUGUUUGCUCCCCACGCUUUCGUGCAUGAGCGUCAGUGUUAUCCCAGGGGGCUGCCUUCGCCAUCGGUGUUCCUCCACAUCUCUACGCAUUUCACUGCUACACGUGGAAUUCUACCCCCCUCUGACACACUCUAGCCUUGCAGUCUCAACUGCAGUCCCCAGGUUAAGCCCAGGAAUUUCACAGCUGACUUACAAAACCGCCUGCGCACGCUUUACGCCCAGUAAUUCCGAUUAACGCUCGCACCCUACGUAUUACCGCGGCUGCUGGCAC